rnacentral:rRNA from 1 species
CCUACGGGUGGCUGCAGUGAGGAAUAUUGGUCAAUGGACGAGAGUCUGAACCAGCCAAGUAGCGUGAAGGAUGACUGCCCUAUGGGUUGUAAACUUCUUUUAUAUGGGAAUAAAAUGUUCCACGUGUGGGAUUUUGUAUGUACCAUAUGAAUAAGGAUCGGCUAAAUCCGUGCCAGCAGCCGUGGUAAUACGGAGGAUCCGAGCGUUAUCCGGAUUUAUUGGGUUUAAAUGGAGCGUAGGUGGAUUGUUAAGUCAGUUGUGAAAGUUUGCGGCUCAACCGUAAAAUUGCAGUUGAAACUGGCAGUCUUGAGGACAGUAGAGGUGGGCGGAAUUCGUGGUGUAGCGGUGAAAUGCUUAGAUAUCACGAAGAAAUCCGAUUGCGAAGGCAGUUCACUGGACUGCAACUGACACUGAGGCUCGAAAGUGUGGGUAUCAAACAGGAUUAGAUACCCUUGUAGUC